GUCGGGCAUGGUGGUGUGUGCCUGUAAUCCCAACUACUCGGGACACUGAGGCAGGAGAAUAGCUUGAACUCAGGGGGCAGAAGUUGCAGUGAGCCGAGAUUUCGUCACUGCACUCCAGCCUGGGUGACAGAGCGAGACUCUGUCUCAAAAAUAAAUAAAUACGGGAGGCUGAGGCAGGAGAGUCAUUUGAACCCAGGGGGCAGAGGUUGCAGUGAGCCGAGAUUGUGUCACUGCACUCCAGCCUGGGUGACAGAGCGAGACUCUGUCUCA
ensembl:misc_RNA Metazoa_SRP Metazoan signal recognition particle RNA